rnacentral:rRNA from 1 species
UACGUAGGGCGCAAGCGUUGUCCGGAAUUAUUUGGGCGUAAAGAGCUCGUAGGCGGUCUGUUACGUCCGCUGUGAAAACCCAGGGCUUAACCCUGGGCUUGCAGUGGAUACGGGUAGACUAGAGGCAGGUAGGGGAGAAUGGAAUUCCCGGUGUAGCGGUGAAAUGCGCAGAUAUCGGGAGGAACACCGGUGGUGAAGGCGGUUCUCUGGGCCUGACCUGACGCUGAGGAGCGAAAGCGUGGGGAGCGAACAGG